rnacentral:lncRNA from 1 species
GGAGAUAAGAUAUGAGAGCAGAUGGGUAAUAUAAGUAGAGAGAUGAAAUCUCUGAAAAAAGAAUCAAAAGGAAAUGUUAGAAAUCAAAAACUGCAACAGAAGUGAAGAAUGCCUUGCAAAAAAUAUUAACAGAAGUUCUUCAGGGAAAAGGAAAUGAUAUAGGUCAGAAACUCAGAUCUACAUAAAGGAAGGAAGAGUAUUGGAAGGAAUAAAUGAAGAUUCUGAAGAGUUAAGAGUCAUGGUUCCUAAAAGGGAAUACUUCUACCAUGGCUGUCAACUGGGUUCUUUAAGUUCCUUAUGCCAAGGGACCAGAAGGCAAGAAGAGGAAUCACCAUCCUGGCAGAAGUAAUUGGCCUUUGUCACCAGGAGGAGGAAAUGAUACUAAUGGAUGACAGAGUAUGGCCUAUACAUUUAUAAGAAAAUAUUCCUCAGUUUGAAUGAAAUUCAAAAUAAUUAAGUAGUAUGGCUGGUGAAGUCUGACCAAUAUCUGAUCAAUUAGCUGUGUGAUCUCAGAUAACCAAGUUGAGAUAAUUCCAGCCCAAAUUUGAUAUUUUCUUAACUCAUUUCAACCUGAAGGUAAAAUUUACAUAAGUGAAAUGCACAAAUCUUAAUC